CGGCCACCUCUUGGUCAGAACCCUACCUCAGCACACACAACCUAUGCUCUGGCAGCAGCCAUGAUGCACACCUCAAUCUCCUCUUCUGCUUUCAGCUUCAGCAAACAUCAUUGAAAUCUCUGGGCCGGCUCAUGGCGGUCCUGCUCAAGACAGAGCCCACCUGUGGCUUUUUCCAGAACAUAGUCCAUGUGAGUAUAUGUGGGGCAAGGGAGAAAGCAUGGUAACUGUCAAUAGCGGGGACAGAGAUUUGGGGACUGAGAGGACAGUCAGAGGGGGAGAAAUCUCCUGCUGACAUGCCAGUUCACUGCGAGCUCAAAAAUGGGCAGAGAAAUGAGCCCUGCAGGGGGAAAGGCAGGAGCCAGCCCUGGCAAACCACAGCUGAGGAAAAGCUCCUGGGUUAGGAGGCAGGAGUGUCUGCAGAGAGCAGGGGCAGCAGUGCUGGUGCUCAGUGAGGCAGGGGGCCACAUGGAACCAGGAAAGGCCCUAAGGGAAAGUGUCAGGAAAGGAGGGACAGGGAGAGGGGUGGCAGGAAGGGAAAGAAAAGAUGUCCUCAGUGAGACAGAUGCUCUGCCACAGGUCCUGCAGAGAUCUAUGACAUCAGACAACGUGUGGGAGCGCAAGAGGGCCCUGCAGACCUGCUCCCAGCUGCUGGCUGUUUGUGAAGAGCUUCAAAGAGGAGAUAUCUGUGAGCACUUUGGCUCCUUGGUGGGAUUGCUGGCACCUCUGACAUGUGACCCUAUGCCCACAUCCCGCCAGCUGGCCGCCACCUGUCUGAGCUCCCUUCUCCGAAUCCAAGCCAAAGCAGCCAACAGAGACAUCGAGACAGGAGACAUCAGGAGUCUGUAUGAGGGGCUGCAUGCCUGCAGCACCAUCUAUCAGCUCCAGACCUCGUCCAAAAUGGCAAGGGUAAGUGGACCCAAAAAGGGGUGGUGGGAUCUCAGUGCAUGGGCUUCUGCACGACCCUGUGCUACUCCCAGCCUCUCACACCAUUUCCAGAAUGAGCUGUCACCCUGAGACUGCUUUUCUGAGCAAGUAGCAGGAGGCUCUGAGCUAUGUCUGGCCUCCAGGUGCCCAGUGCAAGGAGCUGACUCCAUGUGUGUUUGUGU
rnacentral:lncRNA from 1 species